rnacentral:lncRNA from 13 species
CCAGAACUGACUGCUAUGGUUUGAAUGUCUGUGUCCCCUCCAAAAUUCACAUUGAAACUGAAUCCCCAGUGCAACAGUAUUAGGAGGUGGGGCCUGUAGGAGAUGAUUAAGUCAUGAGGCUUCCACCCUUGUGAAUGGAUUAGUACCCUUAUAAAAGGGCUCGCAGGAACUAACCAGGCCCUUUUUGCCCCUCCGCUUUCUGCCAUGGGAGGACACAGUAACAAUGUGCUGUCCUGGGAGCAGAGAGCAGCCCUCACCAGACACAGAAUCUACUGAUGCUUUGUUCUUGGACUUCCCAGCCUCCAGAACUGCCAGAAAUAAAUUUCCAUUAUUUGCACAUUACCCAGUCUGUGAUAUUUGCAUUGUAGCAGCACAAAUGGACUAAGACACGGACUAAUCAGAAUCUGCAUCUCAACAGGAUCCUCCAGUGAUUUGUGUGCACACUGAAGUUCAAGAGGCUCUGCUCCAGAUGCUGUCAUUAUUCUCCUAAUUUUAUGGUUAAGGAAGCUGAGUCUCUGAUGGAGAAGAAGAUGGCGAGGCCUUGGCUGGAGUGGAGAGUUCAGGUACUUAAGUUCCUUAAUGACACAGGAUGUCGAGCCUCUUUUCAUAUGCUUAUUCGCCAUCUGGAUAUGUUCUCUGAAGAGGUAACUGUUCAGAUCUUUCACCCACUUUUUAAAUUGGGUUGUUUGUUUUCUUAUUGUUGAGUUUUAAGGGUUCAUUGUAUAUUUUGGAAACAAGCCUUUUAUCAGAUAAGUGUUUUGCAAGUACUUUCUCCCAGUCUGUGGUUUGUCUGUUCAUUCUCUUACAAUAUACUGUAUUCACAUUAAAAUGAAACUUCAUAUCACAGUGGUAAUGGGGAAAGCAGGAUAAUUUGCCAUGGAAGAAGGUAACCAUAAAAAUUUAAAAACAAAAAGCCCAAUGUUUCAAGUUCUUCUGCUCUGACAAAAAAAAAAAAAAAGCCCAAUGUUAUUCCAUCCUAGCCGAGUCCUGCCACCUGCUUCUGAGCUGUGAGCCUGAGGCUUAAUGUCUCUUGUUAGAAAAGGAACUAACAAGUGGCAAAGAGGUAUGCAAGCCGUACCAGCCUCAAACCAAGACCUUCUCCUGGUCAAAACCAGAAAGCUUGGAAAAUAAUUUAAGGAGUAACUUUUUUCCAUGUAAGCAAUCUUAUUUAAUGCUGGUCAAUGUAGCACCUGAAAGAAACUUUGGGAAUCACUGGUCUAUUCCACUCCCUUGCCCUUGCCUCUACCUCAGUGCCAAAAUCCUUUGAUCUUUCACCCAGUGUGUGCACACCUCCAGUGACCAGGAAAUCACCCCUUUCCGAAACAGCCUGUCUCUCUAGAGGAAGUUCUAGUAGGAAGUUGUUUAUUGUAUCAAGCCAAAUCUCCCUGUAUUUUCCCCUACUGGUCCUACCUCCCCACUUUGGGGAUCUCAGGAUCGAGGCUAAUCUGUUUGUCCCAGAGAGUCAUUAUUCUUUUACAGCCUCAGUUUCUUCAUCUAAAAAAAAUGGGGAUAAUAAUAGCCACUUUCCAGGGAGACUUUUGUGGUGAAACAAGAUACAGCAUGUAAGGUGCUCUGCCCCAUGCCUAUUUCCCGGGGGUGGGGAGGAGGUUGAGAAGAGAGGAAGCGUUUUGCUGAUUCAACUGUGAAUUCACCCACAGGAGGACGUGGACAUGGGUCUGCACUAUUUUUUCUGGGCAAUGUCUCAGCAUCGUUGAGAGAGGCCAAGAUUUGAAAGUCUAGGAAGGAACUGAGUCUAUGGAUCCCUAGGGAUGAUCUGAUCCAAGUUCUUCAUUUCCUAGCUUAAGAACUGGGAGGUUUGAGGGGCUAAGAGAUUUGUCCAAAGUCACAGAGCAAGAGGCAGAGCAGAGACCUGUGGGGCAGGCAGUGGUUUCUUAAGGCUGAAAGGAGCACCAGACCUGGAGUCCCAAGCCCCAGCUAUGGGCCAUGUGGCCUUGGACUUACUAUGUGGCUUUGGACAAGUAUUUUUCCUUUUCUGGGUCUCAGUUUCUUCACUUAUAAAAUGAAUCAUUGACAUAAAUAUGUUGUUUAUAUGUUUGUUUAUUUUGAGAUAGAGUCUUGCUCUGUUGCCCAAGCUGGAGUGCAGUGGUACAGUCUCGGCUCACUGCAACCUCUGCCUCAAGCAAUUCUCCUGCCUCGGCCUCCCAAAUAGCUGGGAUCACAGGCAUGCGUCACCAUGCCCAGCUAAUUUUUUUCUUUUUUAGUAGAGAUGGGGUUUCACUAUAUUGACCAGGCUGGUCUUGAACUCCUGACCUUGUGAUCUGCCUGCCUCGGCCUCCCAAAGUGCUGGGAUUACAAGCAUGAGCCACCACACCCAACUGACCUAAAUGGUUCUGAGGCAUUUUCUGGCUCUAAAAUUCUAUGAUCAAGGAGGUAGUUAUUGAACUUGAGGGAAGGGUGGGACUAACUCAUCCAAAGACAAAGGCAUUCCAGGCAGAGGACACAGCACAAGCAAAGACUGAGAGGUAACUAGUUUAGAUUGGGCAUCUGGGCGAUGAGACCCCAGGGCAUUUUUAAGUGUACAGAAAAGUACUUAGCAUGGUAUCUGACUCAAUAAAUUCUCUUUCCCUGAGCA